AUGCAUGUGGAUAAUGCUAAGUAAUGGUAUGAUAAGCAUGAUGUAGAAAUAAUAAAUGCAAGCACAUGGUUAAUGCUAAGAAUAUGGAUGAUGACAUGAUAAAAAUGCUAAGUUCAUGUAUGAUAAGCAUGUUUUAGGGAUGCUAAAAUAAGAAUGCUAAGUAAAUGACAUAUUGUAUGUGAUAGAUGAACUAUGCAUGUUGUAGGAUGAACUAUGCAUGUUGACAUGUACAUGUUAAACUUUGGGUCGAUAACUCUAGGUUGAUUAGAGAACUCGACAUUGGAAAACUAGUAUAAUGUGCAUAUGGACAAUCUAUAUACAUUAGAUCGAGUGGCAUUAAACCUAGUGUCUUGAACAUAGGUUGAACAUGAAUGAUAUGAACCUAGUGUUAGUAAACUUAGGUCGGACAUGAAGGACAAAUGAACCUAGUGUGAAUAUACAUAGGUUGGACAUCAAGUGGCAUUUAACCUAGUGUUAAAGAACAUAGGUUGGACAUGAACCUAGGGUUAAAGAAAGUAGUUAAACAAGGUUUAACCCAAAGUGACAUUGUGGCUUGGUAUUAGCGGUAUAUGCAUGAUUAGGUAAAAACCUAUCAUUGGCAUUGAG
rnacentral:lncRNA from 1 species